GUUGGCCUGUGAGUGGCUUUCUGGGAAUGUGCAAUGUGCAUUUUUGACAUGGACUGCUCACAUCUCUCUCAAAUGAUAAAGGAUCAGAAAUGGGAUAGGCCUUUGUAAACCAGUGUCAGCUUGCUCUCUGUUCCAAGUGAAGAGCUAUUACUUCAAGUUCCAAUUUUUUAUUUAUUUUUUCAGACAAAGGAGGAUAGCCUCCCACUCGCAUAGUGUCCUUUCUUUGAAGAACAAGUGCUUCUUAAAGCAGCAGACCAGGAUCAUCCAGAAUAGGAAUUCAGAAGCAGAGCGAGGCUCCGUUAUGUAAAGACAGUGAUAUCAUCUGCUUCUACCUUGUCGGACUUUGAAAGGACUCUAAGAACAAAACAACAGGAACAACAACAAAAGAUGAACUUACAGAUUUCCAAGAAAAGAUGAUUUCAUAAAACUGGUUGUUAACGUCUUAGAUGUUUACAGUAUGUUGCUCUUUCUGGGUUGCAGUUUACUAGAGUGUCAGAAUCAUAAUCCACUGUAAACACUAAAGCACCUUAAGUGAUAAAUACAAUGUAUCACCCUCUAUUACUUGCACUUAGGUUCAUUUUCACCAGUUGAACAACUGGAG
rnacentral:lncRNA from 1 species